UUUCUGCCCCAGGCAGACUUCUUCCUUCCCAGGCCUGAGGGCACGUGGGACACCCCCUAAUGGCACUGAUCACAUUGCAAUGUUACCCUUGGGUCACAGGUUUCUGGACCUCUGGACUUUAGGUGUUUUUUUAAUUAAUCUUAUAGAGAAAUUUUUGGUUUGUCCAAAGAGACUCCAGACUUUUUAUUUUCUAAAUUGAAUUUUAAGGAGAAGUUUUAGGUUCCUACGAAAAGACUCCAGGCUUUCUUUUAAAACAGAGACUGUGUGAUUCAUCUGCCCCCAGCACCUAGCAUGGCCUCUGGCUCAUAGCCGGGGUUCAAAUGCAUGCUUGUUUGGUAAUAAGUGAGGCAAGACACACUGGGAAUGAUUUAAAAAAAUAACAAAGAGAUGUAUCUUUACACACAUCUUUGCUGUUGAAAAUGAAGUCCGUGAAAGUUUUCUGGGAAUUCAAAAGUAGUUCUUUUUCAUGGGCCCUCCUUGGUUGGUUUUCAAGUUUGCCCUGAAGCAUCUUCUGUCCAAAUAGCCUUUCGCUGGCAGCAGUUCUACCUUCAUCCAGAAGAUGGCGGGCGAGGCCAGCAAGCGAGCUUCGCAAUGCAGCCAGGCGCCAGGCCUAGGCAGGUGACCCUUUUUUAACAAAAGAUGCGGGCACCUGAAGCCUAUUUGCCAACCCCAUAAAUGCGCAUGGGCGACAAGAACUUCGGGAUAGGUUCUGGUGUUGAUCCCCGUGAAAAGGAGCCUUUUUGAAAGGGUGUUUCAGGGGGAGCAUGGCAGCAAGUGGUUAAAGGGCAGGUCCUCUAAAACUCUCCUUUGAAUGGGGAAAACACUGUGGAAAAUGAACUUCCUAUAAAGCAGGCACAGCCCUCAAAGUCUCCGUGACUCAGGACGACGUGCUUUUUUGCCUCUUGAAGCUUACUUGCUUUGGAAAUGGUUCCCGGCUCCCUGGCCACCUCCACAGCUGACCGGAAGCUUCUCUUGGGUCACAAUUCCUCCUCCUCACAGGUCUGCACACUCCCAACAGGUGGCCCAGUGGUAAAGAAUCCACCUGCCAAUGCAAGAGAUGCAAGAGACAUGGGUUUGAACCUUAGAUUGGGAAGAUCCCCUGGAGCAGGAAAUGGUGAACUACGCCAGUAUUCUUGCCUGGAAAAUUCCAUGGACAGAGGAGCCUAGUGAACUACAGUUCAUGGGGUUGCAAAGAGUUGGACAUGGCUGAGUAACAGAGCGUACACACACACAUAUACACUUUUUCAGAUUCUUUUCCAUUAUAGGUUAUUACAAGACAUUGAGUACAGUUUGCUAUACAGUGUCUAAGUAGCAGCAUGCGAGAUCUUCAGCUGAAGCAUGUGGGAUUUAACUCCCUGACAAGGGAUUGAACCUGGGCCCCCUGCAUUGGGAACACGGAAUCUUAGCCAUUGGACUACGGGGGAAGUUCUAAUGGGUUUAUAUCAUCUACGUGCUCAGUUGCUUCAGUCGUGUCCGACUCUUUGCGACCCAUGGACUGUAGUGCACCAGGCUCCCCUGUCCAUGGGAUUCUCCAGGCAAGAACACUGGAGUGGGUUGCCAUGCCCUCCUCCAGGGGAUCUUCCUGACCCAGGGAUUGAACCUGCGUCUCCUUUAUUCCAGGAGACACAGGAGACACGAGUUUGAUCCCCUAGAUCUAGAAGAUUCCCUGGAGUAGGAAAUGGCAACUGAUUCCAGUAUUCUUGCCUGGAAAAUUCCAUGGACAGAGGAGUCUUGCAGGCUACAGUCUCCAUGGGGUUGCAAAGAGUCAGACAUCACUGAGCAUGCUGGAUAUAUGCCCAGAAGUGGGAUUACUGGAUCAUAUGUAGACCAUUUACUUUUAAUGUUAUUAAUCAUAUGGUUUGGCUCUCUUGUUAUUUAUCUUUGCUCCAUUUGUUCUGUCUUCCUUUUCCUCCUCGUCUACCAUCUUUUAGAUUUAUUGCUUAUUUUUUAUUCUGUUUUCUUGGUUAGAUUAUAGUUAUAAUUUUUUUAUUUUGUGGUUUUAAGGUUUAUAGUGUAUAUAUAUGCCUAUUACAGUACACCUUCAAGUUAUAUUACACUGCUUUAUGGAUAGGAUAAAAACUUACCGCAUUUCCAUUUCCCUCCUCCUGACCUUUGUACUAUUCUCAUACAUUUUAAUUCUACGUGUGUUGUAAACCUCAUAACACAUUGUUG
ensembl:lncRNA